GCCGCGCAGGCGCAAACAGAGGUUGCAGCAGCUAUCGCCAUGCUAUCGCUCUUCGGGCGUUCGUCGAACUCGCCUCGGUGGCUGUUGACAUCGUGGUCAGUGUAGUGUUCUGUGAUGCAUCAGGCCCUCAUCAGCUCAUCGACGACUAAAUCGCCCACUUCAAGGUUCCAGUUGCACCAAGCUGGUGCACUCACCCUCAGGUUGCAAGCCGCUCUCUUCAAGUCGCAUGGGGUGCUUUAUGAGGUCCCAGCUGCACCAAACAGGUGCACGCACCAUUACAGAUUGCAAGCCGUUCUCUUUAAGCCACGUGGAAUGUCCCAUGAGGUGAGCGUGC